UACGAGGGGAGCAAGCGUUGUUCGGAUUUACUGGGCGUAAAGGGCGCGUAGGCGGCCACGACAAGUCACUUGUGAAAUCUCCGGGCUUAACUCGGAACGGUCAAGUGAUACUGUCGGGCUAGAGUACAGAAGGGGCAACUGGAAUUCUCGGUGUAGCGGUGAAAUUCGUAGAUAUCGGGAGGAACACCGGUGGCGAAGGCGGCGACCUGGGUGGAUACUGACGCUGAGGUGCGAAAGCGUGGGGAGCAAACAGG
rnacentral:rRNA from 1 species